GCACCAUGUCCCGGGAGGAUGGGUGCCCUCGAGAAAUCCAUCAGAGGUUUCGCAGAAAGAGAAGGUGAUCAUGUGGUGGAGCCUGAACUAGGGACAACAUUCGACUCACUGACAGAAGCGUAUGACUUCUACAAUUUGUAUUCGUGGGAGCAUGGGUUCGGCAUCAGAUACGACAAGAGCAGCCUGAACCCAGACAAGAGGAAAACAAUGCAAGAGAUUGUGUGUGGAUGCUCGGCAAGUAGUUGUUUAAGCAGAAUUUAUUGCUCACUGAUUGUCGAUUAA
rnacentral:rRNA from 1 species